UAAGAGCUUGCUCUUAUGGGUGGCGAGUGGCGGACGGGUGAGGAAUACAUCGGAAUCUACCUUUUCGUGGGGGAUAACGUAGGGAAACUUACGCUAAUACCGCAUACGACCUUCGGGUGAAAGCAGGGGACCUUCGGGCCUUGCGCGGAUAGAUGAGCCGAUGUCGGAUUAGCUAGUUGGCGGGGUAAAGGCCCACCAAGGCGACGAUCCGUAGCUGGUCUGAGAGGAUGAUCAGCCAAACUGGAACUGAGACACGGUCCAGACUCCUACGGGAGGCAGCAGUGGGGAAUAUUGGACAAUGGGCGCAAGCCUGAUCCAGCCAUACCGCGAGGGUGAAGAAGGCCUUCGGGUUGUAAAGCCCUUUUGUUGGGAAAGAAAAGCAAUCGAUUAAUACUCGGUUGUUCUGACGGUACCCAAAGAAUAAGCACCGGCUAACUUCGUGCCAGCAGCCGCGGUAAUACGAAGGGUGCAAGCGUUACUCGGAAUUACUGGGCGUAAAGCGUGCGUAGGUGGUUGUUUAAGUCUGUUGUGAAAGCCCUGGGCUCAACCUGGGAAUUGCAGUGGAUACUGGGCAACUAGAGUGUGGUAGAGGGUAGUGGAAUUCCCGGUGUAGCAGUGAAAUGCGUAGAGAUCGGGAGGAACAUCCAUGGCGAAGGCAGCUACCUGGACCAACACUGACACUGAGGCACGAAAGCGUGGGGAGCAAACAGGAUUAGAUACCCUGGUAGUCCACGCCCUAAACGAUGCGAACUGGAUGUUGGGUGCAAUUUGGCACGCAGUAUCGAAGCUAACGCGUUAAGUUCGCCGCCUGGGGAGUACGGUCGCAAGACUGAAACUCAAAGGAAUUGACGGGGGCCCGCACAAGCGGUGGAGUAUGUGGUUUAAUUCGAUGCAACGCGAAGAACCUUACCUGGUCUUGACAUGUCGAGAACUUUCCAGAGAUGGAUUGGUGCCUUC
rnacentral:rRNA from 1 species